UGCUUGCUAUAUUGAUCUGUUAGUCUGUCUUUUCAUCUUCUAAAGUUCGUAUUCUUAGUCUUCUUGUUUUUAGUUAGGUGUUACUAACUUUGUUUAUAUUUGUUUUUCAUUGGUAUGUAUGACUUUGUGUUGCACAAGUAUACUUUAUGGACACUCAGAUAUGGUAUGCCAUGUGUGGUGGAGUUAUUGGGGCCUUUGAUCGUUUGGGAGAGCAGGGUCUGAAAUAAGCAAAGGAAUACAUGGAUAAAGGAGAACUGGUUGCAAAUGAGAUAGUUGUCAUGGUUCCUCGGGAAAGUUUUGCUGACAGAGUGGUCGGUCCUCGUCUGGAUUCAAUUACUAGUAGAAGAUACCACAUGACAUAUUCACCCCGUGAAACUGAAGAAAUUGUUGCAAAGCUAACUCGAUGUUUUGAUGAUACUGUCAAGAAUGGGACUUGUAUUGCUGCAUAGUAUGACCGAAUCUUAUAAUUUGUCCGCUUGACUUUGAAAAGUCAAGAAUGUGCAUUUGACUUUGAUGUUUUGGAUUGAAUUUAUUAUUGAAGUUAAAUUAUCAUGUU